AAUUUCCAUUUUUUACGAAUCUGUUCCCAUCAAUUUUCUUUUUAUUAUUUUUUACAGAUCUGCCUUUUUCUUUUUUUCAAAAAUAAUUUUUUUUACAGGUUGAGUCGCCGCCGACCGCCGUGGACCAGCGGUGUCGAUUAGGUUGGAGUUCUUCCGGUUAGACUCAGAGAUGGAGAAAAUAACAUCAAAUUAAUAUUUAUUUAUUUACAAAAAAC
rnacentral:lncRNA from 1 species